GGAGUCCGGGCGCUAUGGCCUGCCGCCGCUGACCUGCACGUAUGCAUUGACCAGGAUACCCCCGGACCGUACCCGGUCACACUGGCAGUGUGGGGGUCAGGGGUUCGAGUCCCCUCAGCUCCA
rnacentral:tRNA from 1 species